GCCUGGGUGGCUCAGUCGGUUGAGCGUCCGACUUCAGCUCGGGUCACUCGCGGUCCGUGGGUUCGUGUCCCGCGUUGGGCU
rnacentral:tRNA from 1 species